rnacentral:rRNA from 1 species
UACGUAGGGGGCAAGCGUUGUCCGGAUUUACUGGGCGUAAAGCGCGUGUAGGCGGCCACGCCGGUCCGUUGUGAAAACUGGAGGCUCAACUUCCAGACGUCGACGGAAACCGUGUGGCUAGAGUCCGGAAGAGGAGAGUGGAAUUUCUGGUGUAGCGGUGAAAUGCGCAGAUAUCAGGAAGAACACCAAUGGCGAAGGCAGCUCUCUGGGACGGUACUGACGCUGAGACGCGAAAGCGUGGGGAUCAAACAGG